UUAGUGACCAGUCUUAUCUUUGGCCAAUAUAACGAAAUGGAAAUAACAGUAAGGCUAGGCCUUAAGAAGCAUUGCCAUUUUCACCUAGGUCUUCUGGAAACUCUCUGGGAGCUCUGAAGCACCCUGUAAGACACCCAACUACCUUGACACUGCCAUGUUGGAGGAGCCACAUGCAGUCAUGCCUGCCAACAGGUUCAAUAGAGCCCAGGCUUUGGGGAUCACUGCUGAAGCUAGACACUUGUUAGGGUGUGGUUUCUGGACCCUGUAGACCAGUCCAUCUGCCAGAUGAGGAUCACUGAGUGACCUCCCUCAAAAUCACAGGGAGCAAAGAGUCCCUACCUGAAUUCCUGACCCACAAAGUCAUGAGAUAUAAAGAAAUAGUUGUUGUUUUAAGCCCCUAAUUUUGGGGGUAAUUUAUUAGGCAAUAAUAGAUAAUCAAACAUUAUCAAUCACUAAAGAGCCCCCCUGUUGACCAUUUCCUAUUGUAAUGUUCCCUUCAAUGGUAACCAUUCUCCUGACUUCCUAUACUAUAGAUUAGUUCUGUUUUUAUACUUCCUAUAAAUAGAAUUAUACAACAUGUCCUUUUCUGAUGUCUUGUCUCUUUGGCUCUAUAUUAAGUUUAUGAUAUUCUUCUGUAGCCACAGAUUAUCAUUCUCAUUGCUGUAUCCCAUUGUGUGAAUAUACCUAUGUGUCCAUUCUACUGCUUGUAGACAUUUGUGUUGUUUCCAGCUUUGGGCUAUAAUAAAUAGCAUUGCUGUGGACAUUCCACUGUGUGCAUGUGUGUUGGGCAUAUGCCCAGGAGAGGGACUGCAGGGAACUAAGGUGUUUUCAGCUUUUGGAGCUAUUGCCACAUAGGUUUUCAAAGUGGUUUUACCAACUUGUACUCAUCCACAGUGUUUGAUGGUUACUCCACCUUUUCCUCAGAACUUGCUGUUUACUGUCUUUUGCAUUUUUUUUUUGCUUGAGAAUUGUAUACAUUUACUAGCCUACAAGAAAGAGCAAAGCUGUCCACCCACCAAGGUGACAUGUGAGACACUCAGGCUAAAGGCAGAAAAACUGAACUCCUUUGACCCGGAUUGGAAAGAAUGUUGCAACCGUUCAUUCACAUUUGAAGGGAAGAUUGCUGGGCUCAGCUUCCACUUUCCUCAUUCAUCUGGAGACUUUCUGCUUUGAUUACAUAAGAUAACAAAUAGAGCCGACUGUUGCUUUUUGCAAUAGUUGUCUUCUAUAAAGUCACCAAAAACAGUGAGCGAAUAUGAGCCAUUGCUCCCAGGGGAAAUACAGGGUCGGAUUACUGUGAGCCUCUCAUCACAAUGUUUCCGUAGACUGACCAAUGCAUAACUUCAUUGUGUGUGUGUGUUUCUGUUUAGAGACUCCUUAUUUAAUAUGUGUUGCUCAUUCAUUAAUAUUCAUGAAC